CCAAUUUUUUCUUCUGGCUACAGUCCCAAGAUGGUGUCAUUUCAAAGGCAAUUGGAUAAACUGAGGCUACAAACCGUGAAGACCCACUUUCUACCACAUACUGCUCCCUUUCUUCCUGCCCACCUUUAUGUCAUCAUAAAAGGAGUAGAACUUGAUGGAGGUAGUAGCAGUGUUAACUCAGCUGUAUAACCUACAGUAUAUAAGAUACUCUUCUGCUUUACUGAAAUGAGCAUUUUCUCCCAAACCUUCUGCACACUACCAAUAUUUUUAACAUCCACCCUGUAGGCUGCAUACUAAAAAAGUUUCAGCAGUAGAUUCAACAAAGUUUAGAUGGUAGCUGGAUGGCAUCAAGAAAGCUUGCCUAGAACUUCAAGUGGAGCAUGAGCUAGAACAUGAAGACUACCUUCCAUCUGACAGACUCUACACAUGGCAACUGGAAUAUUCCUAGAAAUUGUGCAGGAGAGAGACUUCCCUGAAUUUAUCACCACCCACCUGAAACUAGACCACAAUUUCUGGCCUCCUCUUACAAUCACAGCUUUAAUUUCACAGCUCUAACAGCAACACACCAUGGAGUACAAACAUCACUGGAAAACAAGGGCCUGAUAAAACCCACAGAAAAGCUAUUCCCUAAUAUUGGGACUACUUUUAGCCAUACUAUUAUAGAUCACACUUUGUGCAUAAUAAAUAUAGAAAAAUGUUGAAAAUGUAGGACUCAACCAUCUAAUUAAAGCUGAGUAAACUAA